ensembl:lncRNA
CUCGGCGCCUUACAAAAAUAAUCGAAUUUAAUGGUGUAAUUGUGCAGCAAGGUACCAUUUUACCCCGCUGUAAACCUAUGCAAUAGAUUCAAACCUGAACAAAGCACUGAUGACCCUCUACAAAGCAGGUUGAGCCACUGAUGUCACAUGGUCUAUUUUAUGGAUGUCCUUACUGGGACUUGAACUUGGUGGUUCUGUUGCUGUCAAUGCAAAGCUCUCUGAUUUCAUCAAAAAUAUCUUCCGAAGAUGAACGGGUUUGGAACAACAUGAGGCAGUCCCAAAACACUCCAUUUAUUUUGGAUUGUCUUCAGGCGUUGUGUUGAAUAUCAGGAGCGAGAUAACAACAGCGAUGGUAACCGGGUCAGUGAAGUCGAACACACAGGCCGAAACAAGACCAAAGGGACCGUCGGUCAGAACAUCUCCGCCAACUGGCUACCUACACGGACUCUUUGAGGCUUGCAGGAACACGGAUCUGCAGCGAUCGUUAGAGCAGCAAACUGUUUCCUGCGCCGGGAAAAAAAUAAAUAUUUGAAUAUUCUCAGGCGCUCCUAAACCAGCUUAAAUUGGAUCAUUUUAUUGUGCCGCUCCACCCUGCCAAAAUGCCAAGAGAGUGUGGGUUUUGGCGAAGGCCGGCACUCCUGAAUCUCCCCCCC